GAUGAACGCUGGCGGCGUGCCUAAUACAUGCAAGUCGAGCGAACAGACGAGGAGCUUGCUCCUCUGACGUUAGCGGCGGACGGGUGAGUAACACGUGGAUAACCUACCUAUAAGACUGGGAUAACUUCGGGAAACCGGAGCUAAUACCGGAUAAUAUAUUGAACCGCAUGGUUCAAUAGUGAAAGACGGUUUUGCUGUCACUUAUAGAUGGAUCCGCGCCGCAUUAGCUAGUUGGUAAGGUAACGGCUUACCAAGGCAACGAUGCGUAGCCGACCUGAGAGAGUGAUCGGCCACACUGGAACUGAGCCACGGUCCAGACUCCUAAGGGAGGCAGCAGUAGGGAAUCUUCCGCAAUGGGCGAAAGCCUGACGGAGCAACGCCGCGUGAGUGAUGAAGGUCUUCGGAUCGUAAACCUCUGUUAUUAGGGAAGAACAAAUGUGUAAGUAACUAUGCACGUCUUGACGGUACCUAAUCAGAAAGCCACGGCUAACUACGUG
rnacentral:rRNA from 1 species